rnacentral:rRNA from 1 species
AUUGAACGCUGGCGGCAGGCCUAACACAUGCAAGUCGAGCGCGAGGCGGACGGGGGAGUAAUGUCUGGGAAACCGCCUGAUGGAGGGGGAGAACUACUGGAAACGGUAGCGAAUACCGCAUACCAUCAGAUGUGCCCAGAUGGGAUUAGCUAGUAGGUGGGGUAACGGCUCACCUAGGCGACGAUCCCUAGCUGGUCUGAGAGGAUGACCAGCCACACUGGGACUGAGACACGGUCCAGACUCCGACGGGAGGCAGCAGUGGGGAAUAUUGGACAAUGGGCGCAAGCCUGAUGCAGCCAUGCCGCGUGUGUGAAGAAGGCCUUCGGGUUGUAAAGCACUUUCGGCGGGGAGGCGUUACCCGCAGAAGAAGCACCGGCUAACUCCGUGCCAGCAGCCGCGGUAAUUC